CUAGGUGGAAUAAGUAGCUGCUGUUGUGUGAUAAACACAGCAGAGGAAAGUCCGAGCUCCAAGAAAAGGUAGUGACGGGUAACGCCCGCCGGAGGUAACUCCAGUUAUAGGGCUACAGAAAAUUACCGCCUAAAAUAUUAUUAGGCAAGGGUGAAAAGGUGUGGUAAGAGCGCACCAUAACAAUGGCAACAUUGGUAGUCAAGUAACCAACACUAGGAGCAAGAUUAAAUAGAAGUAGAUUUUAUGUUUUUCUCAUAUCUACUCGGGUAAAUCGCAUGAAGUAAAUGGUAACAUUUACUCCAGAUAAAUAGCUACAUAAACAGAACUCGGCUUAUAUUUCACCUAGUCAA
rnacentral:RNase_P_RNA from 3 species